ACGCUGGCGGCGUGCCUAAUACAUGCAAGUUGAGCGCUGAAGGUUGGUACUUGUACCAACUGGAUGAGCAGCGAACGGGUGAGUAACGCGUGGGGAAUCUGCCUUUGAGCGGGGGACAACAUUUGGAAACGAAUGCUAAUACCGCAUAAAAACUUUAAACACAAGUUUUAAGUUUGAAAGAUGCAAUUGCAUCACUCAAAGAUGAUCCCGCGUUGUAUUAGCUAGUUGGUGAGGUAAAGGCUCACCAAGGCGAUGAUACAUAGCCGACCUGAGAGGGUGAUCGGCCACAUUGGGACUGAGACACGGCCCAAACUCCUACGGGAGGCAGCAGUAGGGAAUCUUCGGCAAUGGACGAAAGUCUGACCGAGCAACGCCGCGUGAGUGAAGAAGGUUUUCGGAUCGUAAAACUCUGUUGGUAGAGAAGAACGUUGGUGAGAGUGGAAAGCUCAUCAAGUGACGGUAACUACCCAGAAAGGGACGGCUAACUACGUGCCAGCAGCCGCGGUAAUACGUAGGUCCCGAGCGUUGUCCGGAUUUAUUGGGCGUAAAGCGAGCGCAGGUGGUUUAUUAAGUCUGGUGUAAAAGGCAGUGGCUCAACCAUUGUAUGCAUUGGAAACUGGUAGACUUGAGUGCAGGAGAGGAGAGUGGAAUUCCAUGUGUAGCGGUGAAAUGCGUAGAUAUAUGGAGGAACACCGGUGGCGAAAGCGGCUCUCUGGCCUGUAACUGACACUGAGGCUCGAAAGCGUGGGGAGCAAAC
rnacentral:rRNA from 1 species